ensembl:lncRNA
CUUGAUUCAAAGUACACUUUGAUACAUAGGCAAACUCAUAAAGCUCACAGGGAAAGUUCUUUUGAACUAUUUUUCACUGGUAGUACAAGGGAUUAACCAUUUAAGUAAAGUAUUCUGAAAAGGAAAGGACCCUGUUUAAAAGCCAGAAGUUUUGCUCUGUAAAGAGAAACAAGUUCUAUAUGCUAAGGAGAACUCCAAGUGCAAAAGCUCCUGAAGAUUUCAGUGUGUUUUGUGGUGGUGACCUUUCUCCCUCAGGAUCAAGAGGGCCCAAAGGACCUGAGGUCAAAACCACUUUGUCAGAAGAGCUGUGUGUCCCCAUAAAAGACACAACCUCCACCGAGAGAGCUUUCACUAAAAUGAAGGAGGUACUGUUUUGUCACCCAG